rnacentral:rRNA from 1 species
CGCCGCGUGAGUGAAGAAGGUUUUCGGAUCGUAAAGCUCUGUUGUUGGUGAAGAAGGAUAGAGGUAGUAACUGGCCUUUAUUUGACGGUAAUCAACCAGAAAGUCACGGCUAACUACGUGCCAGCAGCCGCGGUAAUACGUAGGUGGCAAGCGUUGUCCGGAUUUAUUGGGCGUAAAGCGAGCGCAGGCGGAAGAAUAAGUCUGAUGUGAAAGCCCUCGGCUUAACCGAGGAACUGCAUCGGAAACUGUUUUUCUUGAGUGCAGAAGAGGAGAGUGGAACUCCAUGUGUAGCGGUG